GGGGGGCACAGUGGGAACACGCCACUCUGCGAUGUCCCCUGCGGGCCGCGUCGAAAGCCCGCGAGCCCGGGAAAGGGCAGGUCACGCCCCGGACACUCGUGUCGUGGAGCCGGUGUCACCUCAAAGCCCGCACCUCCAUUUUCAAAGAGCAUCUUCCAGAGAGACUAAACUUGGAAAACACUGAGACCACAAAACAUUAUAUUCACAGAAUUCAAAGGGAUAUUGGAUACAGAAUAAGAAAUUUUGGGAGAUUAAAAUUCAGGAGUUCAGUUCCAGCCUGGAAAACAAGAUGGAACUUUCCAGCCUGCACCAAUGUUCACAUUUCUGAUUGAGUUACAAGAUUUUUCUUCUUUUGACCUCAGAAGUCACUUGGAAACUUUGGGGAAAAUUUCACCACAUCUUUUACAUUUUGCUUAUGGUUAGCAGGAGAUACAUUAGAACUUAAAAGAAGUAUCUCAGCCUCCAAUAUCAGUAGUGUUGCUGUAAACCCAUCCCUAAGGUUUCCUAUCCAGGCUUUGGCUGUCACACUUCAUUGCCGGUGUAAUUCAUGUUCACAGUUUUACCAUCACAGCCAGCCAUAUUUUUAGUGAAUUGCUUUAAACUCUUUGCUGAAGUGUGUGUGUGUGUGUGUGUGUGUGUGUGUGUGUGUGUG